GACUAUCUAGUCUAGUUAGGACCUUUACUUUGAAAGUAAAAAGAAUCAUUGUUAGAACUGAUGAUAGUCU
rnacentral:tRNA from 1 species